CAGCCCAGAGCCUGAAUCAGUGUGUGUGUUAGUGGAAGCGUCUGGAAAGGCGUGCGAUACAGGGUGACAGCCCCGUACACAAAAAUGCACAUACUGUGAGCUCGAUGAGUAGGGCGGGACACGUGGUAUCCUGUCUGAAUAUGGGGGGACCAUCCUCCAAGGCUAAAUACUCCUGACUGACCGAUAGUGAACCAGUACCGUGAGGGAAAGGCGAAAAGAACCCCGGCGAGGGGAGUGAAAAAGAACCUGAAACCGUGUACGUACAAGCAGUGGGAGCACGCUUAGGCGUGUGACUGCGUACCUUUUGUAUAAUGGGUCAGCGACUUAUAUUCUGUAGCAAGGUUAACCGAAUAGGGGAGCCGAAGGGAAACCGAGUCUUAACUGGGCGUUAAGUUGCAGGGUAUAGACCCGAAACCCGGUGAUCUAGCCAUGGGCAGGUUGAAGGUUGGGUAACACUAACUGGAGGACCGAACCGACUAAUGUUGAAAAAUUAGCGGAUGACUUGUGGCUGGGGGUGAAAGGCCAAUCAAACCGGGAGAUAGCUGGUUCUCCCCGAAAGCUAUUUAGGUAGCGCCUCGUGAAUUCAUCUCCGGGGGUAGAGCACUGUUUCGGCAAGGGGGUCAUCCCGA
rnacentral:rRNA from 1 species